rnacentral:rRNA from 1 species
GACGAACGCUGGCGGCGUGCCUAAUACAUGCAAGUGGGACGCAAGGAAACACACUGUGCUUGCACACCGUGUUUUCUUGAGUCGCGAACGGGUGAGUAACGCGUAGGUAACCUGCCUAUUAGCGGGGGAUAACUAUUGGAAACGAUAGCUAAUACCGCAUAAUAUUAAUUAUUGCAUGAUAAUUGAUUGAAAGAUGCAAGCGCAUCACUAGUAGAUGGACCUGCGUUGUAUUAGCUAGUUGGUAAGGUAAGAGCUUACCAAGGCGACGAUACAUAGCCGACCUGAGAGGGUGAUCGGCCACACUGGGACUGAGACACGGCCCAGACUCCUACGGGAGGCAGCAGUAGGGAAUCUUCGGCAAUGGACGAAAGUCUGACCGAGCAACGCCGCGUGAGUAAGAAGGUUUUCGGAUCGUAAAGCUCUGUUGUAAGUCAAGAACGUGUGUGAGAGUGGAAA